UGAUGCAGCGACGCCGCGUGAGGGAAGAAGGUCUUCGGAUUGUAAACCUCUGUCUUCGGGGACGAUAAUGACGGUACCCGAGGAGGAAGCCACGGCUAACUAC
rnacentral:rRNA from 1 species